GUCGAGGUCGGGGCCCGGCGUCCGCAAGGGGUUCGAGGGUGGCCAGAUGCCCCUCUACCGCCGGCUUCCCAAGCUCCGGCGAUCGCUGGAGUAAGAGCCUUUAGGUUCUCACCCAUGCCUGUGACGCUUCGACCUAGCUCUGUAUGCUCAACUAAUCAGCCGCAGAAUAAUGCAGAUGUAAGCACAAAUCCAUAUUGUUUUCAAGAUUCAAAUGUGAACCAUCUUUUGUUGAUGUUUGAUGCAGUGAUUCGGUGCUAAGACAUUAAUGUUGAUUAUUAUGUGUCAGAUUUAGUUUACAGCUUCACUGUUUUAAUGCUUGUAUUUUACGCAAUCUUAUUGUACUUAUGCAGCAUUAAAAAAUCAUUUAUUUACUUAUAUAUUCUCUUGAUUGACACUAA